GAUGAACGCUAGCGGCAGGCUUAAUACAUGCAAGUCGUGGGGCAGCAUGAAGUAGCAAUACUUUGAUGGCGACCGGCAAACGGGUGCGGAACACGUACACAACCUUCCUUUUAGUGGGGAAUAGCCCAGAGAAAUUUGGAUUAAUACCCCGUAACAUAGCGAUGUGGCAUCACAUUGCUAUUAUAGCUUCGGCGCUAGAUGCUGGGUGUGCGUAUGAUUAGAUAGUUGGCGAGGUAACGGCUCACCAAGUCUACGAUCAUUAGCUGAUGUGAGAGCAUGAUCAGCCACACGGGCACUGAGACACGGGCCCGACGCCUACGGGAGGCAGCAGUAAGGAAUAUUGGUCAAUGGACGAAAGUCUGAACCAGCCAUGCCGCGUGAAGGAUUAAGGUCCUCUGGAUUGUAAACUUCUUUUAUAUGGGACGAAAAAAGGUCUUUCUAGAUCACUUGACGGUACCAUAUGAAUAAGCACCGGCUAACUCCGUGCCAGCAGCCGCCGUAAGAC
rnacentral:rRNA from 1 species